CCCUGCGCAGGCUUAGAAGAGGCAGGAUGACCGCAAUCUGAAGAAGUAGACUGCGCAAUGAUUUCGGUGGUGAUCUUGGGAGAAAUUUGGGGUAAAGUAACACGGAUUUCAUGCCCCCCUGUUUGCUAUGUGCUUAGCAGAAAUUCGGAUUCACGCUCUCCAUUCCUGCAUGUGCGCGCGCGGAUUGGUUCUGCUCACAGCAUCAAUCACAGAAGUUUAUUGAUGCAAAACACAAAGGUUCAUGCAGAGAUGCAUAGCUGGCGAAGUUACCAGGAAUAAGCAACUAGUGUGUUCUGGGCCUUAAAUAGGACAACCACGCAGAAGAGGAGGCACAAAGAAUAUUUGGAGACCAGCACAAUCAGCCUAUGAGACAAUUAGGAGAGUGGAGGUUGGCAGUAAAUGCCCAAAAACUUCCAAGGACUUGGAUUACCUGUCAAAUUCUUGGGUGUUAUCUGGAUAGCCCAGGGUAACUUUGCAAUCUCUUGGGCUCUCACAUGUGCAUAACUCUACAAUGUGACUCAAUGUUGGAUCUGUAUGGAGCUGUCCCCUGAUAGGAUGGGAGGACUACCAUGGCACGUAACCCCAGCCACUUAUGACAAUUGGACUGCUUUGUGAAGAUGGAACUGGAAUGGUUCGUCUGGUUUGGGAUGGGACCAACAAAGACUGAGGAUUGAAGCCCUCUUAUGGAAUAACCGUGACAACACCCCUCCCCUGUUGGGACAUGUGGUAUACAGUGGGUGGGGAUUGAUGGAAAAUGUUUGUGUCUGAUUGACAGACAUGGUCCCAAUGUGUAUUGAACAGAAACAUAGAGAUACAUAGUGAGGUAGGUUGGAUACCCCCAUGUUCUGUAAUGUUACAAUAUAGAAUAGAAAGAAUACAUAGUGGGAUGUCCUCCAAUCUACAGGUACUAAAUUCACUGACUUUCUUCUCCCAGGGUCGAUUUGGGUAUGAGAUCAGUUUGUAUGGCGUUACCUCUCAGCUACAUGGAUAGGGCAAUGUACUUGGAGACGUUUGUAUAUCCUGGCUGAAUCCUAAGCACUCUCUUAUCACAGCCACAUAAUUUGGAUAUUAUGGUGCAUUGCUUGCAUCAAAGGCACCCCUGGACUGCAUGUGCUGCCUGGUGGUUUUAUCUGAUGGCUAUAUUUGUACCCGAGGCAGGCACAAUAGCCAUAGGAUUACAAGUAGAAACCUUUGCCCAACAUGUGGCCUAAUUCUUGAACAUAACUCGGAAUGUACUUGAUUUACUGUUAGAUGAGACAACCCAGAUGAGGAAUAUGGUAUUACAGAAAUAGGAUGGCCUUAGAUUUACUCACUGUUGCCCAAGGAGGGCCCUGAGGAAUGCUUUGUGUACAUCUCAGAUCAUGUACAGGAUAUUGCACAGGUACUGCAAGAAAUGGAUAUGAAGGUUUAUUCAAUUCUGGAACUCACUGAAAACCCCUUCAUAUCUUGAUGGGCAUCUUUAGAAUCUGUGUAGCAAUAUACCCUCAUAAAUUUAGCUUUAGUUACAGGUAUCUUAGUCAUAGUUUGCCAUUCUUUAUAUUGCUUUUGUCGUUUAUGUGCCCAAGGAACAUUCUCUGGGUGAGAAGAGCAUAUGCUCAUCAGGUCUUCAAGUCUAGAAGUGGAAUGUAGAGACAAAUACUUAAGAUAGCAAUAGGCUUGAUUUGGGGCCAAACAUACAAAAUCGCCACUAUGUUAUAUAACCAUGGUUUAUCCGUCGCACCUGCACUCACUGGCUAUAAUAGCACCCUGUGACUGGAAAUAAACAUAUUUUGCAUUGUG